UACGUAGGGGGCUAGCGUUGUCCGGAUUUAUUGGGCGUAAAGAGCGUGUAGGCGGCCAGGUAGGUCCGGUGUGAAAACUCGAGGCUUAACCUCGAGAUGUCAUCGGAAACCAUCUGGCUAGAGUCCGGAAGAGGAAAGUGGAAUUCCUGGUGUAGCGGUGAAAUGCGUAGAUAUCGGGAGGAACACCAGUGGCGAAGGCGACUUCCUGGCCUGUUCUUGACGCUGAGGCGCGAAAGCUAGGGGAGCAAACGGG
rnacentral:rRNA from 1 species